rnacentral:rRNA from 1 species
ACUCCUACGGGAGGCAGCAGUGGGAAUAUUGGACAAUGGGGGAAACCCUGAUCCAGCCAUGCCGCGUGUGUGAAGAAGGCCUUAUGGUUGUAAAGCACUUUAAGCGAGGAGGAGGCUACUGAGACUAAUACUCUUGGAUAGUGGACGUUACUCGCAGAAUAAGCACCGGCUAACUCUGUGCCAGCAGCCGCGGUAAUACAGAGGGUGCGAGCGUUAAUCGGAUUUACUGGGCGUAAGCGUGCGUAGGCGGCCAUUUAAGUCAAAUGUGAAAUCCCCGNGCUUAACUUGGGAAUUGCAUUCGACUGGAUGGCUAGAGUAUGGGAGAGAUGGNAGAAUUCCAGGUGUAGCGGUGAAAUGCGUAGAGAUCUGGAGGAAUACCGAUGGCGAAGGCAGCCAUCUGGCAUAAUAUUGACACUGAGAUUCGAAAGCGUGGGUAGC